rnacentral:rRNA from 1 species
CCCGCUGAACUUAAGCAUAUAAAUAAGCGGAGGAAAAGAAACCAAAAGGGAUUCCCUGAGUAAUGGCGAACGAAAGGGGAUGAGCUCAGCGCUAAGUCUCACCGUCUACUGGCGUGUGAGAGAUGCAGCGUGAAUGUAGCAGUGCAUCCCGUGUGUCGGACAGUGCAAGUUCCUUUGAAAAGGGCUUUUCCAGAGUGGGUGACAGGCCCAUAGCGCUGUUGUCUUGUACACACGGGCAAACUGUUGCAUACUAGAGUCAGGUUGCUUGAGAGUGCAGCCUAAAGUAGGUGGUAAACUUCACCUAAGGCUAAAUAUUACUGUGAGACCGAUAGCAAACAAGUACCGUGAGGGAAAGUUGCAAAGAACUUUGAAGAGAGAGUUCAAAAGGACGUGAAACCGUUAGUAGGUAAACAGGUGGAACCACGAAGUGUGCUUGGGGAAGAGGAUUCAACUGUCCCGAGUGAGGCAAUUGCUGUUGUGAUAUGUGGCUCUCUCGAGAGUGCAGGCAGCGGUGAUAUUACGUCUCUCUCAGGUGGUGCAUUUUCUCAUUCCUCCUGCGAUGCUAUGACUAGUUGGAUGGCUGAGGCGACCGUAUGCGAGAGUUGGUUGAAGGUGCCUGGCAGGAUGCUUGUCGUCUUGUCCAGUGUUAUAGCAACUACCUCGGCGUCUGCUUCGAGUGUACCGACUAGGAUAACUUCCCGCGUACGCGGGGUCUGCCAGAAAUGCGCGCUGCGUGUGUUAUGCUCGAGGUGAGUGCUGCUUGGGGGUUAGUUUUUAGCUUUUGUUGGAAACUGCUCUCUUGUAGUCCGCCUAUGCUGAGUGUAGCUCUCGUGGUGUGUGGCAAUCGAUAGCAAGUAGGUCGGUAUCCACCUGACCCGUCUUGAAACACGG